GGGACACCAGAGUGCUCCUCUGUUGAACUCAAGAGCAGAACCUGUGUUGACUUCAACAGGAGCAAGACUCAGCCCU
rnacentral:pre_miRNA from 1 species